CCAGACUCCUACGGGAGGCAGCAGUGGGGAAUAUUGGGCAAUGGGCGCAAGCCUGACCCAGCAACGCCGCGUGAAGGAAGAAGGUUUUCGGGUUGUAAACUUCUUUUAAGAGGGACGAAACAAAUGACGGUACCUCUUGAAUAAGCCACGGCUAACUACGUGCCAGCAGCCGCGGUAAUACGGAGGUGGCAAGCGUUAUCCGGAUUUAUUGGGUGUAAAGGGCGUGUAGGCGGGAAAGCAAGUCAGAUGUGAAAACUAUGGGCUCAACCCAUAGCCUGCAUUUGAAACUGUUUUUCUUGAGUGCUGGAGAGGCAAUCGGAAUUCCGUGUGUAGCGGUGAAAUGCGUAGAUAUACGGAGGAACACCAGUGGCGAAGGCGGAUUGCUGGACAGUAACUGACGCUGAGGCGCGAAAGCGUGGGGAGCAAACAGGAUUAGAUACCCUUGUAGA
rnacentral:rRNA from 1 species